UUGCAAGGUUUUAACUCGUAGCAUGAAAGCUGAAAAAUAGAUUUUUGCUUUAACGAAUGCUAAUCUCUAACAUGUAAACGUUAAACGCUGUCAUUGCGUUAACUCUGUUGCGGAAGAAUCGACUGUUUCUGACUUUGGAUGUGCUUCGAAACUAGGCUAUUUUUAUAGCCACUAAUAUCUUAAAAACGUUACAAAGCAAAUGGGAAUACAAUCAUUUAAUUUUAAAUUUUUUUUUACGAAAUAUAUUUUAAAAGAAGUAA